GUGCCAAAAUGUUUGCACUUGGAGUGGUCGUAAAGGUUCCUGUGCCAAAGCAAACAGCCAAGGCAAGCUUUCAAGUGACAUCUGGCAGAGCUAAAUACAAUGCCUCUAUAGAUUGCUUGGUCUGGAAAAUAAGGAAGUUCCCAGGACAAACUGAGUCAACCAUGAGUGCAGAAGUUGAGUUAAUUUCUACAAUGGCAGAAAAGAAGUCCUGGACUCGACCCCCGAUUCAAAUGGAGUUCCAGGUUCCUAUGUUCACAGCAUCAGGUUUACGAGUGAGAUUUCUCAAGGUUUGGGAGAAGAGCGGGUAUAACACUGUCGAGUG
rnacentral:misc_RNA from 1 species